AUUGCUUAAUGGGCGAAAGCCUGAAGCAGCAACGCUGCGUGGACGAAGGAGGCCUUCGGGUCGUAAAGUCCUUUUAUGUGUGAAGAGGAAGGACGGUAGCACAUGAAUAAGUCUCGGCUAACUACGUGCCAGCAGCCGCGGUAAAACGUAGGAGACGAGCGUUAUCCGGAUUUACUGGGCGUAAAGCGCGUGUAGGAGGCUUUGAAAGUUGGAUGUAAAAUCUCCCGGCUUAACUGGGAGGCGUCGUUCAAAACUGCGGAGCUAGAGUAGUGGAGAGGUAAUCGGAACUCCGGGAGUAGCGGUGAAAUGCGUAGAUAUCCGGAAGAACACCAGAGGCGAAAGCGGAUUACUGGCCACCAACUGACACUGAGACGCGAAAGCCAGGGUAGCAAACG
rnacentral:rRNA from 1 species